rnacentral:antisense_RNA from 1 species
UGAAGGAAGGAGAUGGGGCCUGGGGUCCAUAAAACCUACUGCCAAACCAAUCCAGACAGUAUCCCUAUGUUUCCCAGGCUGAUCUCAAACUCCUGGCCUGAACUGACUUCCUGCCUCAACCGACCUCCUGCCUCAACCUCCCAAAGCACUGGGAUUAACAGCAUAAGCCACUGUGCCCAGCCUAAUUUUUAUUUUUCAACUUUGUACAUUAUGGUGUUUUUAAUACCCCUGCCCAGACCGCAGUUUUAGGUAAACCCCCAUCCUGCCUAUACUCAUGUUCCUGUUCCCUUUCCUAGCUGUGUGACCUCGGGAAGGUCACUUGCUUCACUAGGCAUCAACUUGCUCUUCUGUUAAAUGGGGACAACAGAACCCCGUAAGACACUCUGACAAUCACAUGAGGCUAUGUGAAUAAAACAUGGGCCUAGUA